rnacentral:lncRNA from 1 species
GCUGUCUGCCUACCAGAUCCACCUUCUCUUUCUUUACUGGAAAAAAUUCCAUGCAUCCUUCAAAAUACUCUUUCAUUGUCUUCCUGUGAAGUUUUCUCUGACCUCUAUCCUCUCUUUAGCUCCUUUUUAUCUUGUUAACUACACUAUUUUAUAUCAACACAAACUGUACUAUAAUUACAUACUUAUCUCUUUUUCCCUCCUCAGCUAUGAGUUCCUUAACAGCAGGUUUGUCAGGAGUUCCUAAGACUAUCCCCAGGUUCAGUGAUUCACUUGAAGGACUCACAGGACUCACCAUUGAGUUGCAGCACAGGGAAAAGACACACGGAGAGAAGUUUGGAAGAAACCAGCACUUCUCCCGAUGUUACAGCUCCUCUACAAUCAACAGCGGAAUGAGAGGGGAGAAAAAAAUCAUACCAGUCUCAUGAGAGCUAAAAUGACCCUCCCAAGAUGAAAGAGCAAGCUACAAGAGAACCAAGGUCUCCAGACUCUAGCGUCUCCCCAGUGAUAGCACAGCCAUUAUUCCUCAGGAAAAGAAAACCAUGAACAGCAUCUGGAGAGGUCAAUCACUUCCACAACCACCCUGCCUGUCCCUUCUGAGAAGGGACCAAAUCCUACCAUUCCAGAGCAAGGCUGCUCAUGUGUAAUCUCCGGAGUCCUUUCUGGAUCUUCUCUAUGACUUAAUCCAAACAGUGAGACAUCUGUUUGAAUUCCACCAUUCCACAACAUACCUAACCCUCAACAGGACUCGCUUUUAGAAAAUGGUUUCAAAGUAACUUAAGUUCCACACUGUGAAUCUACAUUUUCUGGCUAUUUAUAAAUUUGUUGCCAGUUGCCUCAAGUUUACUUUAAUCAACUGUAAUAGACCAAAAUAUAUAAGUUAAGCCUACGACAUCCUCCCCUAUGAUGCAGUCAAUGUUAGGGGUAUUUUAGUGAGCUCAGUUUUUUUUUUUUAAGAGAUGGGUCUCACUAUGUUGCCCAGGCUGGUCUCGAACUCCUGGUCUUAUGGGAUCCUCCCACCUUGGCCUCCCAAAGUGCUGGGAUUACAGGCGUGAGCCACCGCACCCCGCCAGUGAGCACAGCUGACAACAAGCUGCUUUUCAGGUCCGUGAUAAAAGGAAAAUAUUAUAAGAUUAAUGAGAUUUACUAAUUAGAUAUACUCGCUGAUAAUGUGUUUUAUUUUAAUGAAAAGCCAUGAGAUUUAUAAGUACCCUCCUCUGCAUCAAAACAAUAAACCUGAAAUCCUAAAG